rnacentral:rRNA from 1 species
AUUGAACGCUGGCGGCAGGCCUGACACAUGCAAGUCGAGCGGAUGACGGGAGCUUGCUCCUUGAUUCAGCGGCGGACGGGUGAGUAAUGCCUAGGAAUCUGCCUGGUAGUGGGGGACAACGUUUCGAAAGGAACGCUAAUACCACAUACGUCCUACGGGAGAAAGCAGGGGACCUUCGGGCCUUGCGCUAUCAGAUGAGCCUAGGUCGGAUUAGCUAGUAGGUGAGGUAAUGGCUCACCUAGGCGACGAUCCGUAACUGGUCUGAGAGGAUGAUCAGUCACACUGGAACUGAGACACGGUCCAGACUCCUACGGGAGGCAGCAGUGGGGAAUAUUGGACAAUGGGCGAAAGCCUGAUCCAGCCAUGCCGCGUGUGUGAAGAAGGUCUUCGGAUUGUAAAGCACUUUAAGUUGGGAGGAAGGGCUGUAAGUUAAUACCUUGCAGUUUUGACGUUACCGACAGAAUAAGCACCGGCUAACUUCGUGCCAGCCGCCGCCGUAA